UUGACCUCGGAUCAGGCAGGGAUACCCGCUGAACUUAAGCAUAUCAAUAAGCGGAGGAAAAGAAACCAACAGGGAUUGCCUCAGUAACGGCGAGUGAAGCGGCAACAGCUCAAAUUUGAAAUCUGGCUCUUGCAGGGUCCGAGUAGUAAUAUAGUAGAGGAUGCUGCGGCGUGGGCUCCGGUCUAAGUGCACUUGGAACUGGACGUCGGAGAGGGUGAGAAUCCCGUAUGUGAUCGGCUGCCUUGCCAUGUGAAGCUCCUACUACGAGUCGAGUGGUGCGGGACUGCAGCUCUGUAUGGGAUGUAAAUUCCUGCUAAAGCUAGAUACUGGCCAGAGACCGAUAGCGCACAAGUAGAGUGAUCGAUAGAUGA
rnacentral:rRNA from 1 species